ACAGCGACAGCGGCGGCGACUACAACAACAACUACAACAACGACGACGACGACAACAACGAGAAGGACAACGACAACACCAACGACUACAACAACAACUACUACAACGACGACGACAACGACGACGACAACGAGAAGGACAACAACACCGACGACAACAACGACGACGACAACAACAACGACGACAACAACAACGAGAAGGACAACGACAACACCAACGACUACAACAACAACUACUACAACGACAACGACGACAACAACGAGAAGGACAACAACAACACCGACGACAACAACGACGACGACAACAACAACGAGAAGGACAACAACACCGACGACAACGACUACGACAACAACGACGACGACGACAACAACGAGAAGGACAACGACAACACCGACGACAACAACAACGAGGACUACGACAACGACGACGACGACAACAACAACGAGGAGAACAACAACAACAACGACUACAACAACAACGACUACAACAACAACGACAACGACAACGAGGAGGACAACGACAACACCACCAACAACAACGACAACAAGGAGGACGACGAUGACAACAAGGACAAUGAUGACAACAGGGACGACGACUACGACUACAACGACUACUACGACCACAACGACGACGACCACAACAACAACGACAACUACUACCACGACGACGACCACCACCACCACCACCACAACCACAGAAAGUACAGUCGUCCCCGAGACUACAGUGCCCAUUGUUGUCACCCAGAGCCCGGUUCCUCUCUUGUACCCAACACUUGUCCCAUCCCUGGUCGUGGUCCCGUUGCUGCUUAUCUGCAUCUGCUGCUACAAGAGGGUCAUCAAGGAGCCACCAUCAGCCCAGAAUCCAAAAAAAGGAAAACUGGAUGUUUUUUAUCACUUUCUUCAGUGCUGCAGCCUGGUGCCAUGGAUGUGGUGUCAACCCAGGGACAUGGGGAGGUGCAUCGACUUUGCCUUAAUGAGUCCUCACUGCAUGCCAAUGCUCUAUGGCUCAGAGACCUGCCUUCAACCCAGUCAAGAGUGCCUCCCCCUCAAUAUCUGCUGCUCACGUUGUCAGCAUCCCCCACCGAUAUGCUCUCAGCCACCGUCCAGGAUGUUACCGCUGAUCCCUCCCCCAGAGGUCUACAGAAGUACUUUAUCUCUCCCGCCCCCAUAGCUCAACAUCUAAAGAACUUAAAACUGAAAAUUAGGAGCCCCUUUUGUACCAAAUUAGACAUAUAUAUAUAUAUAUAUAUAUAUAUAUAUAUAUAUAAUACAAUAUAUAUCUUGUGUUUUGGAUUACAGUCAAAAGGAGCUGGAAUUAGUUUCUGAUCAGCAGGAGAGUUUCUUGCCUGGGGAGCACUGCUCCUCUGUAUGAGACGCAACUGUACUCAUCUACCAGGACAAGGCACCCUGGUGUCCUGUGGAUGUAGACGUGAUGAGUCCCAUUCCCACAAGACAGACCUCCAUCUGUCACCAAGCGUUGAGAUGCAUGGGGUGUUAGACGAAAUAUGCUCUUUCAAGAAAGCCCCAAAUAUCUGAUAUAUGGAAAUAGUCUGGUGUCCAUUACUCACUUGCUGUUACUUAAUCUCCUGGGUGAGUUACGUAAUCUCCCUGUACUUCAGUUUCCUUACUGAAAAGAUGUGGAUAAUGGUGUCUCUUCUAAAAAGAGGGCGACAGUAACUGCUGCAACAUGCUCAGCACAAGGCCAGGUCACUUGUAAAGACUCAGGGGCCAGGUCUUUAAGGUCUUCUCUGCUUCACCAGGGAAGGAGACAGUGAUGAGCUCAGAGACAUCAGCAAGUGUGUGGUGAGUGAAAAGAUGUUAGAAAAAAUCAUCACUGGAACUUUAAGCACUGGAUACCAUGACAAAGGGUUGGCAUACAUGAGAAUUCUCUGAAAACUGUUAACCACAGGAAGUUAACAUCAAAGGCUACCACCCAUGUAAUCUCCAAGAUACCAUCAGAAAAGGUCCUUCCACCACUAUGUCCUUGACAAACAUGAGUUCCCUUCGUGUACCUUAAUUUUUCUCAUAGAGUUAAUUCCUAGUUUCCAAUUUCCUAUCAGCUCCUCUGAUUUUUCCUAUCAGCUCCCAAUUUUCCAGGUCCCUUCUGAAGAAGCCUUUGAAGACAUAAUCAGGUUUCUUUGCACACUUAUAUGCUAGAGGACUAUCAGUAGACAAAAAUUCAUUGUGAAGAUCACACAACAUGUUUAUGAAGAUGAAUCAAUACCCUGGACCAAAGAGUCCCAGAUGAGUAGAAGUGGCUACUACCUCAAAUGUGUACAUACCAGUGCGACAAACAAGGGACCAUUAAGAAUCAAGUAAACAUGAGAAGAUGAAAAGAAGUGAAUAAAAUUCCCUAAAGAAAUAGAGAUCUAUGAACUCUCUUAUAAAGAAUUCAGUCCUCUUCAAGCAGUUUAGUGAAACGCAAGAAACGUGGACAGACAACUACAUGAAAUUCAGGGGGAAGAUGCACCAACGAAAUGAGAAGCUCAACAAAGAAAACAAUCAAAAGAACGACUGAAAACGAGAGCUGAAAAAUAAAACACUGCGUUGAAGAAUAGAAUAAAGUAUUUCAGCAACAAACUCAAGCAAGCAGAAGAAAGAAUCAGUGAACUAAAAGGUAGAUCAUUGGAAAUUAUCCUGCCACAGGAGUGAAAAGAAAAAAAAUUAUUAAAAAGUGACAACACACGCUGGGACAUUAUCAGUAGAAAAAAUAGUGAAUUAUGGAAGUCCCAUAUGAGAAGAGAGAGAGAGAAAAGAAAGUAUAUUGGAAACAAAAUGGUUGAAAACUUACCAAACAUGGAAUGAGAAAUACAUCUAGAUUCACGAGGCCCAAAGAAUCCCAAAUAGCUUGAGCCUGCAAUGGUUACAGGAAAUCACAUUGUGAGUAAAUAGUCUAUGGUCAAAGACACAAGCAAUUUUUUUUUUUUCUCUCUAAUUUUAUUUUAUUUUUAAACUUUACAUAAUUGUAUUAGUUUUGCCAAAUAUCAAAAUGAAUCCGCCACAGGUAUACAUGUGUUCCCAUCCCGAACCUCCUCCCUCCUCCCUCCC
rnacentral:lncRNA from 1 species